rnacentral:rRNA from 1 species
AUUGAACGCUGGCGGCAGGCCUAACACAUGCAAGUCGAACGGUAACAGGAAUCAGCUUGCUGAUUUGCUGACGAGUGGCGGACGGGUGAGUAAUGUCUGGGAAACUGCCUGAUGGAGGGGGAUAACUACUGGAAACGGUAGCUAAUACCGCAUAACGUCGCAAGACCAAAGAGGGGGACCUUCGGGCCUCUUGCCAUCGGAUGUGCCCAGAUGGGAUUAGCUAGUAGGUGGGGUAAAGGCUCACCUAGGCGACGAUCCCUAGCUGGUCUGAGAGGAUGACCAGCCACACUGGAACUGAGACACGGUCCAGACUCCUACGGGAGGCAGCAGUGGGGAAUAUUGCACAAUGGGCGCAAGCCUGAUGCAGCCAUGCCGCGUGUAUGAAGAAGGCCUUCGGGUUGUAAAGUACUUUCAGCGGGGAGGAAGGGAGUAAAGUUAAUACCUUGGCUCAUUGACGUUACCCGCAGAAGAAGCACCGGCUAACUCCGUG